UUUACAUAAAAACAUUGAAGUAAAUUGAGUUAGUGAGCAAUAUGAAUGUAAAACUCAAGAAAUCAAAUUGCAAAACUUGAACAGUUACAGAAAAUGAAUCAGAGUGAGAAAUUACCAACAAAAUCGGAUUGAUAACGAUAGAAUCUUAACAGGAGAUCAGGGAAUCCGACUGCAGCGGCGCGUCAUUGGAGUGCAGGAGCCAAUUGGGAUGGUUAGGGUUUUCUCGGAAAAAAAAAAUGAGGCCAAAAUUUGGAACUUCCACUUUCUGGCAGACCAAAAGAAGAAAAGAAAAAAUGUUCAUUCGGAUUCAGUGAAAGGAUCUGGUGAAAACAAAGCAGUGCCAGAGAAUUUCUAGAGGGAACCAAUGAACUUGAGCUUUGAAUAGACAGUGCGAGAUGAGAAGUGACGACUUGCAAUGAAUGAGAAGAUUGGUGCAAUGGAACCUAACAACACGUGGAAGUUGUCUGAUCUCCCAAAAUAACUUCAACCUAUUGGCGUGAGGUGGGUGAGCUUUGUUGCAAAAGGGUACAAACCAAUGGAGUGAGUUGAUUAUGAAGAAGUGUAUGGGAAGGAGAUCUUGAAACUAUAAUCUGGUUUCAACACAUGGAAUCAGGUACAAAGCUUUCGAAGUUUGAUAGAGGAGACUGAGUAAAUGCUAGCAAAUAUCGAAACCUAGUUGGAAGUCUUUAUUAUUUAACGAGUACAAUGCCGAAUUAGUUAUUGAAUGUUGGGAUAGUAAGUUGGUAUUUGGAGGAGUCGAGCUACACAUAAUGGAAGGCACUGAGGCGAAUAUUAAGGUAUGUUUAGGAAAUAAUGUCACUCAGCCUAUACUAUACUAGGCCGGAUAAUUACCGACUAGUUGGGUACUAAGAUAAAUGACUAGUGUGGUAAUAUAGAUGAUUGGAAAAGUACAUUAGGAGUAUUUGUCAUGAGAAAUACAACGUUUACUCAGACUUUCGAAGAAGCAAUCAAUAGUAACACUUUCCAACUUAUAUACCGAUUAAGACAUAUAGAUCUCUGCAAAUGCAAGCAGAGUAGAUCUCUUAUUUAAGCCAAUAUCAAGUAAUAAUCAUUUCUACCAUAAACUACUCUUAAGGAAAAGUACCAAGAAUUUUAAAAGCACCUUGAUUCUAUCAACACUUGAUACUUUUAGGUUUGUAUUUGAUCUUUGUCACUUGCCAACACUUCUUCUGUCAAGUUAGAGGUAUAGUUUAAGAGUGGAGAAAACUGUUUUAAUAAUUAGAAUCUAACUUUCCAAACUGAAAACCAUUUUAUUGCUUUGUAGUACAUUUGAUACAUAGACAAAUGUUUAAGCUAACAUCGGUAGAACAUUUGAUUUAGAACUUCCUUGAAGUAUCAUAUUGAUAUCUCACGAUUAUGCUCUUUAUCACUGAUUUCAGUCACUAUUCUCUUCCAAAACCAAUGUUCUUGCCACACUUUCUCCAUCUGUUCAAUUGGCAGGCUUUUGGUCUCUGGCAGAAAAUAGUACACAAAUAUAGUCAUCACCACCACCCAUCCUCCAAAGAAGAAGAAAAUCCCAUACCUGAAGUGGCAAAGCAUGGUCAGAAAAGUCUGAGAAACAGUGAAAGUGAAGAUAAGGUUCACUGCCACUGUGAUGCUUUGCCCUACUGAUCUAAUUUCCAAAGGAAAAAUUUCACUUGGCACUAACCAACCCAAUGGCCCCCAUGACAAGCCAAACCCAACAACAUAUAUGCAUAUCAUAAUCAAAACCACAAAAGCGUACCCUUUGCUUAAUCCACCAUGAUCUUUCAGAUGAAAGGCCAUUAUACCACCAACUAUAACCUGUGAUGCAAUCAUUUGAAUGCCCCCAAUCAUGAACAAGGCUCUCCGUCCUAGUCUAUCAACUAUGAACAUGGAUAUGAAUGUUGAGGCAGUACCUAUAACUCCCGUGAUCACAGCUGAAAACAGCGAUGCACUUUCUCCUAACCCCAUUGUCCUAUAAAGUAAAGGGGCAUAGCAACCAAUGACGUUUAUCCCUGUCAUUUGCUGGAAAAAUGGCAUAGCUAUUGCCAUCACAAGCUGAGGCCUGUAUCUUCGUUUCAAAAUUAUCUUAAGCGAUUGCUUCUCGUCUGUUUUUGAAGAACUUGCUUUUAUAAGACCAUCAAGUUCUUCUUGCACAUCAUCUGUGCCUCGAAUUCGCUGAAGUAGUAACUUGGCCUUUUGAUGGUCAUGGCCGCGUUGGAUUAAGCUGUUGGGAGUUUCAGGGAGGAAAAGUGCACCAAAUGUUAGGACUGAGGCUGGCACUGCUGCCAUGGCUAGGGACACACGCCAACCCCACCCACCUUUAAUCUUGUCUGUUCCAUAGUUGACUAAGGUAGCAAACACACUACCAAAGCAAACGCUUAACUGGAAGCCAUUGCUAAUCGCUCCUCUUAGUCGUGGUAGUGCCAUUUCAGAUAGAUACAAAGGAACAGCCUACAGAAAUUACAGAUAGAUACAAAAAAAAUCAUAAAUCAUAAUCAAUUUUCAUUUUGUCUUCAACAGUCUAAGUGAACUCGCUAAAGAGAAGCUAGAUCCCAAAUUUCAGGAAAGUAAAUUACGCAGCUUUAAUCUUCUAUAGAGGUCUAGUUUCCAAUUGAAUCUUAAGUUGUAAUCAAUAUUUGAAAUGCUUGUAAUAGUGUAGAAAAAUGAAGGAAAAGAUAGCUACCUGGUUUGCAAAACCAAUCCCAACUCCAAGCAAAAGUCUACCAAAUAUGAGCAUCAACACAUUAAAAGCUGCACCUCCCAGAGCUGUACCGGCCAGGAAGGCGGCGCCGCCUACCACAAUGGACGGUUUGCGGCCAAAGGCUUUGGUGACAUAAGAAGCAAAGAAGGUGGUAACAAGGCCAGCAACAUAGAGAGAGGAUGUAAAAGAGGUCAAUAGUUGGCUAUCAAAUACACAGUAGUUGCUGACUUUGGCAUCUUCUUUCUGAAGGUACACUUUGUGGAAGAACUUCUUCAGAAAUGGAUCCAUUGCGGUCACCCCACCAGCUAUUCCAAUGUCAUAGCCAAAGAGGAGACCUCCCAUGGCAGCCAUCAUACAAGACAGCAGAACAUAAGUGGUUAUCUUACCAUUGCUUUGGACAUUUUCACUUGCUAUAGCCAACCCAACAGCCAUUGAUAGCCUCUUCUUUAGUACACAGGUAAAAGCUUAGAGAGAUUGAUUCAGGUUUCAUAUAUGGUUCAUGAUAAUUUAUAAUCAAGUAGUGCUUUUUGAUUUGUGUACUCAACAUUGGUUUGAAUUUCACUAUAACUGUGAUAUCUGUCACUGUUGAAUUUUGGUUAGUUAAAUUUUGUCUUCUAGGAAGAAAAUUGUCUAA